CAUAGUGGACACAAGGUUAGACGUGACAUAAAUGUGUCCUAGACAGACCCUUCUUUUCUUAGUGAAACAUCAACUUUCCAAAGACAAUAUUCCAAACUGGACAGUUGAUACAUAGAGCUAUUUUACUUUAACAUUUAAAGUGUGGCUGCAAAUCUGGGAUGCAGGAGGUGAAAAUUCAUUGUCUAAUCUGUUUCUCAGUUUCCUCUUUCAGAAACGAGAGAUUUUUCAAGACCUUGCUCCACUGCUGUGGCACUCCUUUGGCACUGUUGCUGCACUGCUCCAGCUCACAUCCCACUGUACCUGUACCCGUUCCUGAAUACUACCAGCAAGACAAGACCUUUUGAGUACUUGAGGCUUACCAGCUUGGGUGUUAUUGGUGCUCUUGUGAAGGUAAAUUAAAACUAGAUACUUAUGCAAACUAGGAAUGGAUGGUCCAUAUAGAUUUUUGCUUUAAAUGGUGAGAGGGUUGUUGAACCAGAGGGGAAAACAAUGAUGGGGAUUGGCUGUAUUCUUUCUUUUUUUUUGUAGACUAUAUCUUGUUCUUUUGGUAUUCUCAUUCCAGUAAUCCAGUCAUUUUAAUCAAAUGGACUGGUUGGGAUUGGAUCCCAGGAAUCUCAACAGGAACUGUUAUUUUUGAAGCAAACAGGCUAAUGAUUUGUUAGAAAUUAUAUUGUUUCUUCUUUUGGAUA